UACGUAGGGGGCGAGCGUUGUCCGGAUUUAUUGGGCGUAAAGAGCUCGUAGGCGGUUUGGUAAGUCGGGUGUGAAAUCUCCACGCUCAACGUGGAGGGGCCACUCGAUACUGCCAUGACUCGAGUCCGGUAGAGGAGUGUGGAAUUCCCGGUGUAGCGGUGAAAUGCGCAGAUAUCGGGAGGAACACCAGUGGCGAAGGCGACUACCUGCCUGGUUCUUGACGCUGAGGCGCGAAAGCUAGGGGAGCAAACGGGG
rnacentral:rRNA from 1 species